rnacentral:rRNA from 1 species
AUUGAACGCUGGCGGAAUGCUUUACACAUGCAAGUCGAGCGGCAGCGCGGGGCAACCUGGCGGCGAGCGGCGAACGGGUGAGUAAUGCAUCGGAACAUGUCCAUGGAUGGGGGAUAGCCCGGCGAAAGCCGGAUUAAUAUCGCAUGAGCCCGAGAGGGGAAAGGGGGGGACCGCAAGGCCGCACGUCGAUGGGUUGGCCGAUGUCCGAUUAGCUAGUUGGUGGGGUAAAGGCCCACCAAGGCGAUGAUCGGUAGCUGGUCUGAGAGGAUGAUCAGCCACACUGGGACUGAGACACGGCCCAGACUCCUACGGGAGGCAGCAGUGGGGAAUUUUGGACAAUGGGGGCAACCCUGAUCCAGCCAUUCCGCGUGAGUGAAGAAGGCCUUCGGGUUGUAAAGCUCUUUUGUCCGGAACGAAACGGGUAAGGCUAAUACUCUUGCCUACUGACGGUACCGGAAGAAUAAGCACCGGCUAACUACGUGCCAGCAGCCGCAGUAAGAC